GCUAUUCCGUUAAAUCCUGAGCUAGUUUAGUACUAUUAUUAUUGAAAGUCUAGUUUCGAAACAUGAUCCGUCUUUGUGAAUCGAGUAUGUUUGAAAGUCUUGGUUGCUUAUUAUUAAUUUGAUUGUUAAACUGGAAAUAGGAUAAUAGAGGAUUCAACGAUUGUGUGAAAUGAUUGAUGUUAAAGACUGUUAUAUAUAUGUAUAUAUCUAGUUAUAUAGUAAGGACUAUGUGGUGAGUGCGGGGGCCCAGAGUGAUUUGGGCUAGCGACGCAUAUGAGUACGGGGGCCCAGAGAAAUCUGAGCUAGCGACGUAUAGAGUGCGGGGGCACAGAGACAUCUGAGCUAGCGACGCAUAGUGGAUGAGUACGGGGGCCCAGAGACGUCUGAGCUAGCGACGUAUAUUGUGUGGUGCGGGGUGCAGAGACGUUUGCAUAUCGACGCAUAUUGGUGGAGUGCGGGGGUCCAGAGAUGUCUGGACUAUCGACGCAUAUUAUGAUAUCGUAUAUCCGUAUGAGGAGAACGCAGGGUGUGUGGACUAGCUAUGUACCAUCAGCGUAUUGUUUGUUUUGUGUGAUGUGCUAGGCAUCUUGUCUGUUCAUGCUAGAGCUACUCUUACAUAGUCGUAGUGCUAUGUACUGAGUCUGUGGUUUGCGGGUUAGCAUCCCAUACCUCACUGAGUGACUCCCCUGUUGCUCAUCCCUCUUUCUUUUCUCUUUCAGGUGAGCCUGGCAGACAGGAGUGAUUGCUUUCGGAUUGGUGCUUUUGGGCGUUUUCUUUAUUUCUAUUCCAGAUUUUCGGUUUUGUGCUUUACCGAGAUUUUUAGAUUUAUUAUACUAUUUGAAUUUAAUGCUAUUUAUUGGAUUUAUGGAGAUUUGAGAUUAUUUAUGUGGAGUAAUAAAUGGAGAUUUCAGGAUUAUUUCUUUAUUUAUUAUUUAUUAUUAUUAUUAUAUAUUUUGGAAAAUCGGGGUAUUACAAUUUGGUAUCAGAGCGGGGUUCCGUCCUGGCUCUGACCCGGGACGGCGAUUUAUGGGACUCGGAUUUCAGUGAUUUUUCAAUGUUUUGGGAUUGGGAGUUUUUGAAAAAAAAAUGCACCCUUCUGCCGAGCAUCAUUCGGUUAGUCAUUAGAGAUUUUGAUUUUCUUUUCUUCUGCAGGUGAAGACCAAGUUUCUUUCGUUUCCAUCGUCUAUUACCUUUUAUCUUUCUUUUCUUCGAAGCUGUGGACGUUCUUUCUUCAUCUCUUUGGAAUUCGGGACGAAUUCUGAUUAAGUGGGGGAGAAUUGUAACGACCCGGAUCUUAGGAGUAAGGCCCAUUUGUUUUAUUUUAAUCAAAACCCAUUCCUUUUUAUUUUUGUCCCACAUUGGAAGUUUGAGCUUCAUACCUCACUUCCCUUCUCCUAUAUAAUAGACUCCUCUUCUUCUCUUUAUUCUCAUCAAGUCAAAGUAUUUCUUUGCGCGUGACAAAUUGUUGUUAAAUUAUUCAACGACCAGUCACUAGUUAAUUUUUCCGGUGAGAUUUCCGGCGAGCUUCCGGCGGGAUUUUUGGACGAGCUUCCGGCGGCAUUUCUGGGCGAGCUUCCGGUGGGUUUUUCUAGUGAGCCUGGCAGACAGGAGUGAUUGCUUUCGGAUUGGUGCUUUUGGGCGUUUUCUUUAUUUCUAUUCCAGAUUUUCGGUUUUGUGCUUUACCGAGAUUUUUAGAUUUAUUAUACUAUUUGAAUUUAAUGCUAUUUAUUGGAUUUAUGGAGAUUUGAGAUUAUUUAUGUGGAGUAAUAAAUGGAGAUUUCAGGAUUAUU